rnacentral:tRNA from 1 species
GGCUCCGUGGCCUAAUGGUUACGGCUUCUGCCUCACAAGCAGAAGCUUCUGCCUCACAAGCAGAAGGUUCAGGGAUCAAAUCCCGGCCGGUACCU